GACGAACGCUGGCGGCGUGCCUAAUACAUGCAAGUCGAGCGGACAGAAGGGAGCUUGCUCCCGGAUGUUAGCGGCGGACGGGUGAGUAACACGUGGGUAACCUGCCUGUAAGACUGGGAUAACUCCGGGAAACCGGAGCUAAUGCCGGAUAGUUCCUUGAACCGCAUGGUUCAAGGAUGAAAGACGGUUUCGGCUGUCACUUACAGAUGGACCCGCGGCGCAUUAGCUAGUUGGUGGGGUAAUGGAUCACCAAGGCGACGAUGCGUAGCCGACCUGGGAGGGUGGUCGGCCACACUGGGACUGAGACACGGCCCAGACUCCUACGGGAGGCAGCAGUAGGGAAUCUUCCGCAAUGGACGAAAGUCUGACGGAGCAACGCCGCGUGAGUGAUGAAGGUUUUCGGAUCGUAAAGCUCUGUUGUUAGGGAAGAACAAGUGCGAGAGUAACUGCUCGCACCUUGACGGUACCUAACCAGAAAGCCACGGCUAACUACGUGCCAGCCGCCGCCGUAA
rnacentral:rRNA from 1 species